CGCGUAGGCGGCCUGCUAAGUCGAACGUGAAAUCCCUGGGCUCAACCCAGGAACUGCGUCCGAUACUGGUUGGCUUGAAUCCGGGAGAGGGAUGCGGAAUUCCAGGUGUAGCGGUGAAAUGCGUAGAUAUCUGGAGGAACACCGGUGGCGAAGGCGGCAUCCUGGACCGGCAUUGACGCUGAGGCGCGAAAGCCAGGGGAGCAAACG
rnacentral:rRNA from 1 species